GACGAACGCUGGCGGCGUGCUUAACACAUGCAAGUCGAACGGAAAGGCCCUGCUUUUGUGGGGUGCUCGAGUGGCGAACGGGUGAGUAACACGUGAGUAACCUGCCCUUGACUUUGGGAUAACUUCAGGAAACUGGGGCUAAUACCGGAUAUGAGCUCCUGCUGCAUGGUGGGGGUUGGAAAGUUUCGGCGGUUGGGGAUGGACUCGCGGCUUAUCAGCUUGUUGGUGGGGUAGUGGCUUACCAAGGCUUUGACGGGUAGCCGGCCUGCGAGGGUGACCGGCCACAUUGGGACUGAGAUACGGCCCAGACUCCUACGGGAGGCAGCAGUGGGGAAUAUUGCACAAUGGGCGGAAGCCUGAUGCAGCAACGCCGCGUGCGGGAUGACGGCCUUCGGGUUGUAAACCGCUUUCGCCUGUGACGAAGCGUGAGUGACGGUAAUGGGUAAAGAAGCACCGGCUAACUACGUG
rnacentral:rRNA from 1 species